rnacentral:rRNA from 1 species
AGCAGCCGCGGUAAUUCCAGCUCCAAUAGCGUAUAUUAAAGUUGUUGCAGUUAAAAGCUCGUAGUUGAAUUUCGGGAUUGACCCAUCGGUCGUGCCUUAAGGGGUAUGAACUGGUGUAGUCAAUUUCUCACCUUCUGGAGAACCGUGAUGUCCUUAAUUGGGUGCCACGAGGAACCAGGACCUUUACUUUGAAAAAAUUAGAGUGUUUAAAGCAGGCAUUUUUGCUUGAAUACAUUAGCAUGGAAUAAUAAAAUAGGACGGCAUGAUUCUAUUUUGUUGGUUUCUAGGAUCACCGUAAUGAUUAAUAGGGAUAGUUGGGGGCAUUAGUAUUCAAUUGUCAGAGGUGAAAUUCUUGGAUUUAUUGAAGACUAACUACUGCGAAAGCAUUUGCCAAGGAUGUUUUCAUUAAUCAAGAACGAAAGUUAGGGGAUCGAAGACGAUCAGAUACCGUCGUAGUCUUAACCAUAAACUAUGCCGACUAGGAAUCAGACGAUGUUAAUUUUUUAAUGGCUCGUUUGGC